rnacentral:rRNA from 1 species
GACGAACGCUGGCGGCGUGCCUAAUACAUGCAAGUCGAGCGGACGAAUCGAAAGCUUGCUUUUGAUUCGUUAGCGGCGGACGGGUGAGUAACACGUGGGCAACCUGCCCUGUAGACGGGGAUAACACCGAGAAAUCGGUGCUAAUACCGGAUAACACGAAAUGUCGCAUGACGUUUCGUUGAAAGACGGCGCAAGCUGCCGCUACAGGAUGGGCCCGCGGCGCAUUAGCUAGUUGGUGAGGUAACGGCUCACCAAGGCGACGAUACGUAGCCGACCUGAGAGGGUGAUCGGCCACACUGGGACUGAGACACGGCCCAGACUCCUACGGGAGGCAGCAGUAGGGAAUCUUCCGCAAAGGACGAAAGUCUGACGGAGCAAUGCCGCGUGAGCGAAGAAGGUCUUCGGGUCGUAAAGCUCUGUUGUUAGGGAAGAACAAGUAACGCAGUAACUGGCGUUACCGUGACGGUACCUAACGAGAAAGCCACGGCUAACUACGUG